AUUGAACGCUGGCGGCAUGCCUUACACAUGCAAGUCGAACGGUAGAGUAGCAAUACUCGAGAGUGGCGAACGGGUGAGUACAUAUCGGAACGUGCCCAAUCGUGGGGGAUAACGUAGAGAAAUUUACGCUAAUACCGCAUACGAUCUAAGGAUGAAAGCGGGGGAUCGCAAGACCUCGCGCGAUUGGAGCGGCUGAUAUCAGAUUAGGUUGUUGGUGAGGUAAAGCUCACCAAGCCGACGAUCUGUAGCUGGUUUGAGAGAACGACCAGCCACACUGGGACUGAGACACGGCCCAGACUCCUACGGGAGGCAGCAGUGGGGAAUUUUUGGGACAAUGGGCGAAAGCCUGAUCCAGCAAUGCCGCGUGCAGGAAGAAGGCCUCGGUUGG
rnacentral:rRNA from 1 species